CUGUGCAUGAACCGGUGUUCGCAUCUUCCUGCCAGCCUGGCCAUCCAACCAAUGCCCUUGGGAUUGGAGAUGGUUGCCUGGACUGUGGAAAUGCGUUCUGAGAUCAUACGGUCGAACUUGACUCUGGAUAAUACCAGCGGAAGGAUCAUGCCUUCAAUCUUC
rnacentral:ncRNA from 1 species